rnacentral:rRNA from 1 species
AGGACGAACGCUGGCGGCGUGCUUAACACAUGCAAGUCGAGCGGAAAGGCCCUUCGGGGUACUCGAGCGGCGAACGGGUGAGUAACACGUGAGUAAUCUGCCCCUAGCUCUGGGAUAGCUCCGGGAAACCGGGAUUAAUACCGGAUACGACCACCUUAGACAUCUUUUGUGGUGGAAAGAAUUUCCGGCUAAGGAUGGGCUCGCGGCCUAUCAGCUAGUUGGUGGGGUAAGUGGCCCACCAAGGCGACGACGGGUA